GACAAAACUGAAUUUCUCUUCUCAACCUGAACUACAUACUCCGUUUUCUCUAUUUCAGAUGAAUUUCCUGAAAUAAACCGAGCCUCAAUUCGACAGGAUCACAAGGGGAGAUUCUAUGAAGACUUUUACAAAGUGGUGGUGCAGAAUGAGAGAAGAGAAGAAUGGACUUCACUUCUCGUAACCAUUAAAAAACUCUUCAUCCAGUAUCCAGUGUUGGUGCGACUGGAACAGGCAGAGGGCUUUCCUCAAGGAGAUAAUUCUACCUCAGCACAAGGAAACUACCUGGAGGCCAUCAAUCUGUCAUUCAAUGUGUUUGAUAAGCACUACAUCAACCGCAACUUUGACCGAACUGGACAGAUGUCAGUGGUGAUCACGCCCGGGGUGGGUGUCUUUGAAGUGGACCGCCUACUCAUGAUCCUGACCAAGCAGCGGAUGAUAGAUAAUGGAAUUGGUGUGGACUUGGUGUGCAUGGGAGAGCAACCAUUACAUGCUGUCCCAUUGUU
rnacentral:sRNA from 1 species